rnacentral:rRNA from 1 species
UGGGGAAUAUUGCACAAUGGGGGAAACCCUGAUGCAGCGACGCCGCGUGAGCGAAGAAGUAUUUCGGUAUGUAAAGCUCUAUCAGCAGGGAAGAAGCAAGACGGUACCUGACUAAGAAGCCCCGGCUAACUACGUGCCAGCAGCCGCGGUAAUACGUAGGGGGCAAGCGUUAUCCGGAUUUACUGGGUGUAAAGGGAGCGUAGACGGUAUGGCAAGUCUGAAGUGAAAGCCCAGGGCUUAACCCUGGGACUGCUUUGGAAACUGUUAGACUAGAGUGCUGGAGAGGUAAGUGGAAUUCCUAGUGUAGCGGUGAAAUGCGUAGAUAUUAGGAGGAACACCAGUGGCGAAGGCGGCUUACUGGACAGUAACUGACGUUGAGGCUCGAAAGCGUGGGGAGCAAACAGG